rnacentral:rRNA from 1 species
UACGGAGGGUGCGAGCGUUGUCCGGAAUCACUGGGCGUAAAGGGCGCGUAGGCGGCGCGGGAAGUCAUCGGUGAAAGCUCAGGGCUCAACUCUGAGUCGGCCGGUGAUACUCUCGUGCUUGAGCACUGUAGAGGCAGGUGGAAUUCUGGGUGUAGCGGUGGAAUGCGUAGAGAUCCGGAAGAACACCGGUGGCGAAGGCGGCCUGCUGGGCAGUAGCUGACGCUGAUGCGCGACAGCGUGGGGAGCAAACAGG